rnacentral:misc_RNA from 1 species
UCUCCGUAGGUGAACCUGCGGAGGGAUCAUUACAGAGUUCUCGCCCUCGCGGGUAGACCGUCCACCCACUGUUAUCGUUACUGUGUUGCUUUGGCGGGCCUCCGGACCCCGCCCGGCCGCCGGCCCCGGCUGGCGCGCGCCCGCCAGGUGCGCAGCAAACGCUGACUGUUAUUGUGGGCUGAGUACUAAAUGAUAGUUAAAACUUUGAACAAUGGAGCUCUUGAUUCGUGCAUCGAUGAAUAACCAACCAGACCGGAGGAGCACACGUCUAAAAGCCAG